ensembl:snRNA U6 U6 spliceosomal RNA
GUGCUUUGGCAGCACAUAUACUAAAACUGGAAUAAUGAAGAGAAGAUUGGCAUGGCCCCUAUGCAAGGAUGACCCAAAAGUUAAAAAAAAAAAAAAAAAACAG